AUUUCCUACGGGACGCAGCAGUGAGGAAUAUUGGUCAAUGGGCGGGAGCCUGAACCAGCCAAGUCGCGUGAAGGAAGAAGGUACUUAGUAUUGUAAACUUCUUUUGUCGGGGAACAAAGGCGGAGACGCGUCUCCGGAUGAGUGUACCCGAAGAAAAAGCAUCGGCUAACUCCGUGCCAGCAGCCGCGGUAAUACGGAGGAUGCGAGCGUUAUCCGGAUUUAUUGGGUUUAAAGGGUGCGCAGGCGGGAGAUCAAGUCAGCGGUAAAAUGUCGGGGCUAAACCCCGGCCGGGCGUUGAAAACGGU
rnacentral:rRNA from 1 species